rnacentral:rRNA from 1 species
AACCAACAGGGNUUGCCCUAGUAACGGCGAGUGAAGCGGCAACAGCUCAAAUUUGAAAUCUNGCGUCUNUGGCGUCCGAGUUGUAAUUUGCAGAGGGCGCUUUGGCAUUGGCAGCGGUCCAAGUUCCUUGGAACAGGACGUCNCAGAGGGUGAGAAUCCCGUACGUGGUCGCUAGCCUUUACCGUGUAAAGCCCCUUCGACGAGUCGAGUUGUUUGGGAAUGCAGCUCUAAAUGGGAGGUAAAUUUCUUCUA